ACAAAACAACAAACAAGUUUGACCUCAAAUCAGGUAGGAUUACCCGCUGAACUUAAGCAUAUCAAUAAGCGGAGGAAAAGAAACCAACAGGGAUUGUCUUAGUAACGGCGAGUGAAGCGACAAAAGCUCAAAUUUGAAAUCUGGCACCUUCGGUGUCCGAGUUGUAAUUUGAAGAAGGUAACUUUGGAGUUGGCUCUUGUCUAUGUUCCUUGGAACAGGACGUCACAGAGGGUGAGAAUCCCGUGCGAUGAGAUGUCCAACUCUAUGUAAAGUGCUUUCGAAGAGUCGAGUUGUUUGGGAAUGCAGCUCUAAGUGGGUGGUAAAUUCCAUCUAAAGCUAAAUAUUGGCGAGAGACCGAUAGCGAACAAGUACAGUGAUGGAAAGAUGAAAAGAACUUUGAAAAGAGAGUGAAAAAGUACGUGAAAUUGUUGAAAGGGAAGGGUUUGAGAUCAGACUUGGUAUUUUGUAUGUCUUGCUUUCGGGUGGGGCCUCUGCAGUUUACUGGGCCAGCAUCGGUUUGGACGGUAGGAUAAUGACAUUGGAAUGUGGCACUACUUCGGUGGUGUGUUAUAGACUUUGUUGAUACUGCCUGUCUAGACC
rnacentral:rRNA from 1 species